rnacentral:rRNA from 1 species
GAUGAACGCUGGCGGCGUGCCUAAUACAUGCAAGUCGAGCGAACGGACGAGAAGCUUGCUUCUCUGAUGUUAGCGGCGGACGGGUGAGUAACACGUGGAUAACCUACCUAUAAGACUGGGAUAACUUCGGGAAACCGGAGCUAAUACCGGAUGAUAUUUUGAACCGCAUGGUUCAAAAGUGAAAGACGGUCUUGCUGUCACUUAUAGAUGGAUCCGCGCUGCAUUAGCUAGUUGGUAAGGUAACGGCUUACCAAGGCAACGAUGCAUAGCCGACCUGAGAGGGUGAUCGGCCACACUGGAACUGAGACACGGUCCUGACUCCUACGGGAGGCAGCAGUAGGGAAUCUUCCACAAUGGGCGAAAGCCUGACGGAGCAACGCCGCGUGAGUGAUGAAGGUCUUCGGAUCGUAAAACUCUGUUAUUAGGGAAGAACAUAUGUGUAAGUAACUGUGCACAUCUUGACGGUACCUAAUCAGAAAGCCACGGCUAACUACGUG